GUCUUCUUUCCAUAUUUCAGACUUUCUGGCUAUACAAAUUGAUUGUUUCUCUAAUUAUAGUCCCACCAUUUGAAUCAAAAUCUACUUGUAACCAUUGUUUCUGGUUGUGUGACUAUGUGCAUGCAUGGAUGUUUUGUGGGCAUGUCGGGUGUGUGUGUGUGUGUGUGUGUGUGUGUGUGUGUGUGUGUGUGUGUGAGACAGUUUCAGAAAACUGCAUGUGUGCAAGCAAGUUUAAGGUUAACUCCAAGACCACUUACUUUUCUACCAUGUGAUUUGUUUUGUUUUGUUGAGCCGAAUCAUUUGGCUGGAAAACAUCUGAUACAUUGUUGGGAGACGUCUUACAACAAGGAAACAGGAAAGGAAGAGAAAGACCUGCAGAGGCUGAUGCAAUACUCCAAGCUGUCAACCAUGGCCAUGAUGAGCUCAUUCUUAUGCCAGACAGAAAUCUAGCAUGACUGUCCUAUGAGAGGCUUCACACAGCUACCGACACAGACAGAUGAAGGCACCCACAGCCAAACAGUGGCUAGAACCUGGGAACACUUAUGGAAAAACAAAAGGAAGGAUUGUGGGUCCUGACAGGGAUAGGGACUCCACAGAAAUACCCACAGAGUCAACUAACUUGGACCCUUGGGGCUCUCAGAGACUGAACCACCAACCAAAGACCUACUGACUGGACCUAGUCCUCCCCACACAUAUGUAGCAGACAUAUGUGGCUCCUGAGCAACUGGAGUGGAAGCUCCAAAUACAGCAAAAGCUGUUGCCUGUAUGUGGGGUCUAGGUAGUCCAGUUAGGCUACCUAGCCUGUCGGAGACUUGGUGUACCAGGGUCGGGGGAUACCCAGGGGAAGCCCUACCAUCCCAGAAGAGUAGGAAGGGUGAUGGGGGAAGGGUUGUGGGAGGGGGUGGCCAGGAGGAAGGCAGUGAGUGGGAUGUAGAAUAAGUAAAUCAAAUUAAUUAAUUAAUUAAAAUUGAAUCCACAUAAAAUAAAAUCAAUAAACAAAAUGGGGGAAAAAUCCAUUACCUAAUACAUGGUGAGGAAUGGGGAAUUCCAGAAUGAAGGAACAGAGUAGGUGAAGAUUCUAAACCAGGAAAGAAGGAUGCAAAAGGGUCUGGGACUGAGGAAUGAGCAGGCUUCCCUUAGUCAGGGCUCUGGACUGUGAUAGGGAUUUUCACUCUUAAUUUUAGAACAGGAAUAAAGAGAGAGGGGAAAAUGGCUGGAAAUUAAUUUAGGGGAGGUUGUGAGAUUAUUGAUCCAAAGGCCAUCAUUGUCUACAAAAGGGUUAUAAUAGUGCCGUCCAGAACAAGACAUUGUAUCUGAGAAGUGGGUAAGCAAAUAAUUGACAGUGGCUGUUUGGGGAAUGUUUGGAAAUGAAUGCUGGCAUGUAGGAUGAAGGCUGCAUUUGAAAUAAACUGAAGAAACGAGGUGAAGGAAUGUUGAGUACAGGAUUUGAAUCUUAGUUUGUCCACGGAGUUCAUCACACUUGUUAGACUGAAGGCAAAUAUACAUCAUAGAUCUACUGUUAAAGGUCACAGACCAGCAAGUCUAUAAUACAGAUCAUAACUAGACAAAACUAGACAUAUCUAAGACAGAGACAUAGAAUGCAAAGUGAAGGCCACGACAAAAGCCCUGAACUCUCAAACAUUUAAAGACUUGGAAAAAGGAGUCAAAUAAUGAAUGCCAGACCAGGAACAGAUUAGCAAGAGGUCCAGAAGACAUGAUGGCCCUAGCCAAGAGAAGACUGAGUCCUUCAUUAAUGAAAAAAACAGCACACUAGAAGAUGGUGUGAGGUCACAGGGAAGGUACCACAAGUGGGGAGAUACACAGGUUUUUCUUGGUCCUUCCUAGACAAGAACAGGCUUAAUCCUAUAACUCAUGUUGUGUAUGUUGAAUGGUAUGUGGGAGAUAAGGAAAUAAAUAUAGCCAAGGAAAAUUCUUAGUGGCAUGAGGCUAAACUCCACGUGAUAGCUCAGACACUCCUUGAUAUGUCUCAGUUCUGAAAUCUUCAGGAAUAGUAAUCAAUUGCCAUUUCAAAGAGUAUCUCCCCAUAACCGCAUACCCUCCCUGUGACCAGUGUCUCCCAUUCAGAAGAAAAUCCAUUUGUCAUGUUUACCUUACAGAAUUUUCAUGCAUUCAUAUCCCAAUCAUUUACUCUUUGAAGCUUGAAGCCUGAAUGUCCUGAGCUUGAAUGGGCACCGUGGGCAACCUCGUGUAAGGGAACAUCUCACCAUGUCACUGUUCAGGCACAUUCUGAAGGCACAUUUAACUCAUGAGUCUCACAGUUCAAAAGACUGAUGGCUGAUAAUUUCUUAGGAAAAGACAUAAGGACUUGAUUUUUUUUAAUGUAAUAAGGAGUUAAAUAAAAAAUGUCACCGUUCACUUGUGCUACCUCAACCAUAACUGCACUGCAUUGAAAUUGUCCUUAUCUAUUCAAUAACUAACUGUAUCUUGUCAUGUAAAAGCUCUGACAUGACAAUUAACAUCUCUGUUAUUCUGCAAGUAAAAUUAAAUCGCUCACUAGUAAAAUAGAAUAAAGACAACCGGAAAGGCAGAUAGAUAUGCCACCUAUCUUCUUACUGCAGUCUAUCCUUGGGUGACUUUUACUAUGCAACUUACAGAGAGAGGAUGAAAAAAGAAAAGAAACUUUUGACAUUUGUUCCAUGAUGUAAUACAGCGCUCACCCAUCAAAUUAUGAGUUCACAUAGAUUCAGACCUGGGAAGUCACUCUAUGUACAGUCAUCCCUUUUUCCUAAGCAGCUCACCUUUGUAUAAUACUGAUUUACGUCCUUCCCAGGCUAGCUGCGAAGAUCAAGAGAAGUACUGACCAUACCAUCAACUUCUCUUCACUCCAGACUUACUAGGCUAAGCAUCCAACGUGUAAUCAUGUGGGCUCUCUCCACGGGCAACUAGUUGGUAUUUCUGUUCUGAUCUCUCAGACAUAGCUAAACUGAGAAGUCAAGUAAUUUGACAAAAGUCAGCCAACCAUUAAAUAGAUUAGGACUAAAUAAUUCCAAACUGACAGUGUCGUAAUUUUCCACUAUGCCAUACAGCUUUUCUAAAUAAAGGCUCUUUUUGAACUGGAAACAUGAGUCAAUACAAACUAGAUAAAUGAUAGAUAGAUAGAUAGAUAGAUAGAUAGAUAGAUAGAUAGAUAGAUAGAUAGAUGAUGGACAGAUAAAUGAUAGAUUAAUAAUAGAUAAAUAGAAAGAGAUUAUAGACAGAUGAAAAGUAGAUAAAUAGAUGACAUAGAUAGAUAACAAACAUAGACAUAACAUAGUUGUAGAUAGAUAAUGGACAAAUAGACCACAGAUAGGUGAUAAAUGAUAGAUAUGAUACUAGAUGGUACCUGUCUUCCUGGAUGGAUGGAUAGAUGGACAGAUGGACAAAGAUAGAUAAUAGGUAACAGAAUUAGAGAACUGUGGGUUUCAUAGUUAGGAGAGUGGUAUCUAUGAUUUGGGUUCAGAUCUCAAUUUUUUUCUUGAAUGCUUCAAUAUCCUUGGAUGCAAAAUGGAUACAAUAACAUAUCAAAAAAGAGGUUUUUAUAAGUAUUAAAGGAGUAUAAGUAUGUAUAUAGUGAAAUCCACAGUAGUUACAAAAAUAUUAUAUUUUAAUAUUUUAAUCACAGGUGUGCGUAUUUGAGUGCAAUCACUAGAAGCAUAUGAGUGCUUGUGAAGGCCGGAAGAGUACACUUAAUCCCAAGUCAUACAGAG
ensembl:lncRNA